GUCUGUCAACACCGUAUCUCAAGUUCAACAGAGGGUGAAUUGCAUUCUCUACUUGAAUAUCCAUUAUAUAAUAAUCCUAGAGGUGAAUUUUUGAAUAUUAACAUAUUUUUAAAUAUAAAUGACCCCUGGGAUUAGGAUGGAGCCACAAAAGAGUUGUAAUUAUUAUGUAUGAAUAAAGUAGACAUUUUUAAUGAAUAUCUUUUAAAGGACCAAAUCAUGAUGAAUUCUAAUUUUUUUUUUAAAUUAUGUGUACUAGCAUCUCCAUGUCUUGUAGAUUCAUAGUUAACAUCGCAACUCCGGAGUCCAGGUAGGGGAAGAUGCACAAUAUCCACCUGUGGGGUUUCGUUGUGGGGCACAGCAUAAAAAAUGUAUCAUUUAGUGUAAUAAUUAAAUGAAUACAUGUAUUAAUAUCAAAGACUAAAUGAAAAACUAAUGAUUUGGAUCUGAACGCUGCUCAGGAUGUCCACUUUUUUGUCUCGGGCUCGUAAUCCUGUCUACUUUGUGUCUCGCUUGUUUUGUUUUUGUACUGAGAUAUUUGUUUAUGUUUUUUAUUUAAUUCCUAUUGUCUAUUUUAUCUAGGAUGUUGUCCACUAAGCUAAUGAUGGGGAUCGUAGCACUACCCUGCACACAGACAUGGAAUGGAUCUGCCUAGUCCAUUAUCAGAAGAGUGACCAUGCAGGACUGUUCGUCCCGUCAGAGAAGUUUCUCAAGAAGCAUUACAAGGGACUUGUAUGAAUGGACAGAAGAAAUGUUCUUAAUUGACCACCCCAUCAUUGCCUGCUGUUGGAGACUGAACACUUUAUUGAAAAUUGCUGAGGUGUGGCAAUCAGUCGGUGUCCUCAUUUGACCUGAGAAGAGUCAGAGAACUCCCUGGGCCUCAUGAGAUGGUGACACCCUGAAGUAGGAGCAGUUCCUACCGGUAUCUCUUAAAGACAGACAGAGGUUCUCAUAGCAUCUGAUCCAUUUCUGGAGACAAACUUUUGUAUGGAGCUGGUAAAAUUUCUAUCUUUUUAGCUCAGGUGAGCUAAAAGCUCAAGUGAGCUUUUCUGAUCACCCGUAGCCCGGCGUCCGUCCGUCUGUAAACU